AUAUUUACUUUGCAAUUUUGCUGCAAUUACAAGCGAUUUGAUCUGGUUUUGUUAUAAUUUCGUUUCAAUUUUAUGCGAAUAGGUACUGAGUUUAUAAAAGUAACAUAAUAUUGUCUUGUAUAUAAUUAGUUUUUGUGUAUUUCGGAUUCCGUUUACAUCUAGGUACCUACUAUGUCGGGGUCCUACGAGAAAGCUGGCGUAUCAACGCCACGAAUAUUCAGGCGCCCGUAAAUCGUCAAAACGAGUGAAAAGCGCAUUCAGUUGGAUACAUGUGGACGACAAGAUAGUAAACCUGUAAAUUAUAACUCAAGUUGUGGCCAGCUUCAUUGUAAACAAACUUUAGUUUUCAAGUUCAAGGACAAAUGCGUGUCAGUAACAUGGAUAAAUGCUACUUCAUAUGUUUUAUUUCAGUCAAUGAACCUUUGACUGUUAUAGAAGUUUGUCGAGAUAAUAUAAUGACUUUAUCAGCAAUAUGAUGCCAAAGUUAAUACACUUUUUUAAAGAAUGUAUUCUGCCAGAAAUAGUUUUGAGACAUGUUCAAAAAAUGCGAAAUGUAUACCUAGGUAUGAAAGCAGCUGUGUAGCGGUAGUUUCCAGGCAAUAAUGAAGAAGGAUGAGUGAAAACAACACGACAAAUGUUUUUUAUUGUACUAUUAUAGUAGUGCGUUUAGAAUCUACAUUAUCAAUGUUUACAGUCAUGUUUUUUUUGAUGUCAGAAAACUGAAAUGGUGUACUCGUCGUAAUGAACAUAAUGUUCAUAAUGUGAUAUGAAUACAUUGACCUAUUUUAAGGUUUCUGAAAAACAAAAAGGAAAGUUGUUGCUUUUUUAUUUCCUUAUGUAGUAUAGUGAUUAUGGAUGCUUAGAUAUUCUCAAACAUUUUUCCGCUUUGAUUGCAAUCUAUUAUUCUGGUUGCCUUGUUUAUGAAUUAUAGUUUUGAAUUAUUAUUUUGAAUGAGAUUAUUUUUUAAUAAUCAGUCACGUAUCAAGCAUUCAUGUCACAUAAAUACUUGUAAUAAUUGCAGGUUAGUAUAUACAUUCUAUUAAAUAAUGUAUAAGAUAAUAAAAUAAAACUGUCUUACAUUGCA